UCAGUUCGCAGGGAGUUUCAUGGUCACGGCUAAUUAAAGAGAGACCGGGAAAUGUCAUCUAGCUGUAUUCGUAAACAAAAAUAAAAACUUGGCUUUUGACGGAAUGAGCACCUGGAAGGUGUCACAUGGUGAGGAUCUGAAGAUGGAAGGAGAUAAACAAUGUGAAUUGGAUUGGACGGAUCAGAAACUGAGGGGACCAGAGUUUCCAUCUCCUUCAGCUGAGCAGUUACUGGAUCCUUCAGACCACCACUGUGGAUUCUCUUGCUGCUGCUCCUGCAGAUGGCCCUUGUGGACUCUCCCUGUGAUCCUCCAAGAAGCACUCUGAACUGUGGCAGCCGAUAGAAACUGGGCACCAGAUACCCAUGGAAAACCCAUACAGAGACAGGGUCAUUGUAUUUUACCACCUGGAGAGCAAUGUUCUUGGGAUGUAUGUCAUGUCGGG